rnacentral:rRNA from 1 species
ACACAUGCAAGUCGAGGGGAAACGAUGGGAGGGCUUGCCCUCCCAGGCGUCGACCGGCGCACGGGUGAGUAACACGUAUCCAACCUGCCCUCUUCCGGGGAACAACCUUGCGAAAGUAAGACUAAUGCCCCAUGUGUCCUCAGACGGCAUCAGACGAGGACGAAAGAUUUAUCGGAAGUGGAUGGGGAUGCGCCUGAUUAGGCAGUUGGCGGGGCAACGGCCCACCAAGCCGACGAUCAGUAGGGGUUCUGAGAGGAAGGUCCCCCACAUUGGAACUGAGAUACGGCCCAGACUCCUACGGGAGGCAGCAGUGGGGAAUAUUGGGCAAUGGGCGCAAGCCUGACCCAGCAACGCCGCGUGAAGGAAGAAGGCUUUCGGGUUGUAAACUUCUUUUGUCAGGGACGAGUAGAAGACGGUACCUGACGAAUAAGCCACGGCUAACUACGUGCCAGCAGCCGCGGUAAUACGUAGGUGGCAAGCGUUGUCCGGAUUUACUGGGUGUAAAGGGCGUGUAGCCGGGAGGGCAAGUCAGAUGUGAAAUCCACGGGCUCAACUCGUGAACUGCAUUUGAAACUACUCUUCUUGAGUAUCGGA